AAAGUUUUGCUCUGGCUUACAUAAAUAAAUCUCAAUUUUACUACAUGCAAGAGUUCUCCCACCAAUAAGAUUAUACCUGCUUAAAGCAAUUAUAACUAUAUAGAUAAAACAAUAAAUUGUCUCUCUUAUUAGCAGUGUUUGAUUUUUUAAAAAUAGCGAAAGCUGGAUAAAGAAAAGAAAUAUUGGGUGGAUAAAUAUGUGCCAGCACCCGCGGUUACACAUAUACCCAAAUAUUUAUUUAAGGUAAAAUGGUCAUAAAUUAAUUUAAGGAAAAAUUCUUAUAGUCAAACAUAAUAAAAAUAAAACCUAACCUUAAAAUUAUAAAACCAUGAAAUUAUCAAAUAGAACUAGGAUUAGAUACCCUACUACUAAAUUAACUAAAACUAAUUACCUGGGUAUUACGAGAAACCUUAAAACCUAAAGAGCUUGGCGGUCUUUUACAUCAUCAGGGGAGCUUGUCAAGUAAAUGAUAAUCCGCAUUAAUAUUCACCUUUUUUAAUAAAUAUGUUUGUAUACCUCCGUUUAGUCAAUCUCUAACAGUAAUGGCAAUAGAACUACUUCUCAACCUCAGGUCAAGGUGCAACUAAUAAAAAGGAUUCGAUGAGCUACUAUGUGUAAACAUAGAAUUUUUCUCGAAAGAGUAAAGGAAAUAGUACUUGAAAGUAACUAUCUCUUAAAACGAAAUAGUGAAACAUAAUCUAAAAGGCGUACAAAUCGCCCGUCACUCCCGUUAAUAAAUGGGAUAAGUCGUAACACAGUAGGUGUACUUG
rnacentral:ncRNA from 1 species